GGAUGGAGGAGUGAAUGAAGGAGAGAGAGAAAUUAAUGCACUGCUUCAGAGCAUCUGCAGCAAAGGGAUGUUCAUACCCACUGCCCGCAAAACCUUACGGCCUUGUUAAACCGUGUGGAGCCUCCACAAGGGUCCAAAAGGAGUCACUUGAAGGCCUGUGCCUCUUUUGAAGCUUCUUGCCCACUUGGGAUCUCCCCACUGGCAGUGGCCCCAGGGGACCCUUGGCCCUGGUCUAGGCUGUCCUCGGGGGCGGGAGGUGAGGGUUCCUCUAACUGCAAGGGUUUGCUCUUUCAUCCCAGCUCAGCUGCAGCACCAGCUGGCCCGCUUCAGAGGAAGUCACUGGCCAAGAGUCAACCAGUGGGGACCCAGAGAUGCUCCAAACCCCAGGGAACUGAGGGCUGUGUGGCAACCCACGGUCAGACAGCAAAGGUGCCCUGGGAUGACUCAGAGCCUCCCCAUUGCUGCUGCAGCCCUACCCCCAACCCAGCACACCCAGGGCUCUCAGGACAUCUCAUCUCAUUGCCACACAGCCUAGAAAAUUUGGCCUCUGGCUUGGUGCUCCAUUUGCUGAGCCAAGAGGAGGCAUGAAUCACUGGUUUGUGUCAGAGAAGCUGCACGGUCAGGAGCUGCCAGCGGCAUCCGGAACCCACAGACCUUGGAGCCCGCAGAGCCACAGCCCCCGCCCCUCCAGCAGGGCUGUGCCUCCAUUUCCCUCCCUGCUGGCCUCCCCCUCGGCCGUGAAGCCUGGCUGCUCUGGGUUCUUCUCUCGUCAGCCUGCACAAGUUCAAACAGCCCCACACAGUUAGCGCCCUCAAAGCAGGCCGGGGCUGACAGCCCGUGGCAGUCCCCGGCUAUAAGAGGUUUAUCAGGAUGGUCCAGAAUAUGCACACAAUAUCCUUUUUAGAUUUUUCUUGGGUUACAAACUCCCAGUUAAAAGUCUUUGUAAAGAAUUCCUAGACUCCCAAACAUAUCCCUGUGGAUCCAGAGGGACCCCAGUUUGAGAAACUUUUGGGGAGUGGAAGUCGGGGGUCAGGAACUAGACUGGAGUCUGGUUUGCUGCCAGUUGUCCAAGCGCUACCCUUCUCCAAGCCUCGUUUCCUAAUCGAAGGCUCCUACAGCUCGGACUUCCUUGCCUCUCUGAUUCCUUGGAGACAUCCCAGGCCCUGUGGCUGGUCAGAUACUGGGCUUCAGGCUUGUGGUUGUGCCUGCAGGUGCCACGUGGGAAGCCGGCCACAAGCGGAGCCUCUCUGAGCAAAGGCGAAGCCGCAGGGGUCGGGGCACGUCCAGGGCUGGGGGUCUUGCCUUACCUCUCUGCUACACGGUCAUCUCUCGUUCUCCCUGCAGUCUGCAUGUUGGUAGGCUAGUGGUUCAGAAAAGCUCUGCGUUUCCCUGUCAACGACUGGACAGGAAUCUGGGCAGCACAGGGUGCUGGCCUCACAGGGAGGCCUGGCCUGGGCUGGCAGGUGGAGGGUCCACGUACCCAGGAGGAAUGUCAGCUGGCUCCCCUUGGGCCCUAGCCCGGAAGUCCCAGAAAAUUCGAGAAGAACAAGAUAUACGGAAGAAGAAAUUAUCCUCAAGACUGCAACAG
rnacentral:lncRNA from 1 species